UGAAUUUCUUAUUUUCUGAUUUUAUUUCUUUUAUUUCCAUUAUUUUCAAAAAUCAAUAUCUUCUUCAUUUUUAAUCCAAAAAAUAUGGGACCAAUUGCAUUCUUCUCCAAAUAAUUUCUAGUUUCUAAUUUUGAUUUUUAAUAUUUUUUAAUUCUUCAUUUUUAAUCCAAAAAAUAUGGGACCAAUUGCAUUCUUCUCCAAAUAAUUUCUAGUUUCUAAUUUUGAUUUUUAAUAUUUUUUAUUUCAUCAUUUGAUAUUUUUUGUGAAUUUUCUCUUUU
rnacentral:lncRNA from 1 species